AAAAGGACGAAGAGGACCGGGAAGAACGUCCAGCCAAUGUCGUAAAAUGGUGCCGGGACCGGCUGUGGCUUACGACUCAGACCAAAUUUUCUGACACCGGGCAGCACGCUUUGCUCUCUUGAGAUUUCACGGUACCUUUCGCCGAUUCAAGACGCCCUGUGCCGGAAGUAGCAAAGCAGCCCCGAGUCAUAAACACCUUCGUCUUUCACGUGUAAGCCGAGAUGGUCUUGCCACUGAGAACGAAGGGGCCGCGAGCACGAAGGGCUCUAAAGGCAUCCAAAAGCUUGUCGGCAUUGUCCGAGAAGUCCACCUGGACUGGCUGCCCGGUGGAAUCGAUGGCGAGCAUGCCG